rnacentral:rRNA from 1 species
GUGGACGCCAGUCUGCAUGGAGCCGACCUUGAAAUACCACCCUUUAAUGUUUGAUGUUCUAACGUUGACCCGUAAUCCGGGUUGCGGACAGUGUCUGGUGGGUAGUUUGACUGGGGCGGUCUCCUCCUAAAGAGUAACGGAGGAGCACGAAGGUUGGCUAAUCCUGGUCGGACAUCAGGAGGUUAGUGCAAUGGCAUAAGCCAGCUUGACUGCGAGCGUGACGGCGCGAGCAGGUGCGAAAGCAGGUCAUAGUGAUCCGGUGGUUCUGAAUGGAAGGGCCAUCGCUCAACGGAUAAAAGGUACUCCGGGGAUAACAGGCUGAUACCGCCCAAGAGUUCAUAUCGACGGCGGUGUUUGGCACCUCGAUGUCGGCUCAUCACAUCCUGGGGCUGAAGUAGGUCCCAAGGGUAUGGCUGUUCGCCAUUUAAAGUGGUACGCGAGCUGGGUUUAGAACGUCGUGAGACAGUUCGGUCCCUAUCUGCCGUGGGCGCUGGAGAACUGAGGGGGGCUGCUCCUAGUACGAGAGGACCGGAGUGGACGCAUCACUGGUGUUCGGGUUGUCAUGCCAAUGGCACUGCCCGGUAGCUAAAUGCGGAAGAGAUAAGUGCUGAAAGCAUCUAAGCACGAAACUUGCCCCGAGAUGAGUUCUCCCUGACUCCUUGAGAGUCCUGAAGGAACGUUGAAGACGACGACGUUGAUAGGCCGGGUGUGUAAGCGCAGCGAUGCGUUGAGCUAACCGGUACUAAUGAACCGUGAGGCUUAACCUU